UCCCUCAGUGAAAGUGGGCUAACGUGGCGCUCCCCAUCGCCACCCCCCCCCCGUCGCCAUGUUUCCUGAACACAAAAUGGCGACACGUGGCCUGGAUUCGUCGCUCAGGAGAAAUUGGGGUCGCCCGAAAGCUCUAGAACGCGCCGCCUCUUGUUCACUGGGACUUCCCUGCGACGGGAGUCCUUAAGAUCCCUCCUGUAGGCUGGUCCGAAACGUGGCGGAAGAAGUUUAAUCCUCCCUCCUUUAAUUUGAAAGGAGAAUGUGAAUAAUAGUAAAAUAGGAAGACACUUAAGCCCAGAGAAAUGAAGUGAGCCAUUCAAAGUCAUACGUUGUCGGGGAUGGAAUCCAGACCUUCUGAUUUCUUUACUGAUCUGGAUUAACUUUUGAAUUCCACAUUACCCAUUUUAUGGAUGAAGCUCCUGAGAUAUGGAACAAUGGAUUGAAUAGUCACCGCCCCAACCCUGGAAUCUCACACAGGACUCUUCUCACUCAAAUGACCACAGGGUCUUGCUAAGUUGCUGUGGCUGGCCUUGAACUUGUGGUCCUCCUUCCUCAACCUCCCGAGUCGCUGGAAUUAUAGCAACAUCAAGGCAACAAGAUAUCAAGCAAAGAAGUCUCUUUUUCCUCCUCCUCCUGCUGGACACUGAAGAUUGUUUUUAUGUUGGAACUUUCAUUGCCCAGAAUGCAAGUUCAUAAAGGAGUGUCAAGUUUCAGCUGGAGGGAAGGUGGCCAGGACAGUUUUUCAGGGAAAUCUGACAGACACAUGAUGCUUUGAGUGAGUUUGUGUGUACAUAUUUUUUCUUUGGAGUAAAGCAUGGAAAAAGAGCUGAGUCCCACAUCUGGGACUGCUUAGAGCAGAGAGAAGAGACCAGCCUCAGGAGCUCGGUUGCCCUGACCCUACAGAAUGUAAGUCCCAUGCUGCUGGAGACCAUCUUGCCACCCUAAGGAGAAUACUGCCUAAGAAUGAAGGCAACACAGAUGACAGCUGAGCUGUGAGAUAGAGAAAACUGGAGAUCAGAUGGUGUCUUGAGUACCUGGAUGUAACCACGUGUUAAACUGGUGGAAUCCUGGACGCUUAUUUUGCGUGGACCUAGACUUUCCCUUUUUUUACCCCUUAUAGAAGUUUGAUUUGAAUCGUCACCUGCUGCCAGAAGUGUCUUAAUUAAUCCAUGUCAUAAAUGGUAUAUCAUUCUCUUACAGAGAAUAUGGCUGGUCACUCCAAACAUCAGCGGAAGUUGGGCGUCUCGGAGAAUAUCUGCCUUCCAGUUCCCAUCUUAUCUCCCAGUCUUUGAGCAAGGUAAGGAGUCCAUGGAAUUACCUGCUUUAGGAACAACUAAGGGCUGGGGGGUCAAUCCAAGACUAAAUUUCUGUCAAGAUCCACAAAGGAAGACUUCCUACCUGAAUUCAACUUGUGUUGACUCCUUUCCACCCACCCCAUGGAUAGAACCAUAAAGAGACAUCAACUUGACCACAGUAAUGUCAGGUACACUGGUCAUCCCCUUCUUUUCCUGAAGGAGAUGGCUCUUUUUGUCAUUAAAAUAUUUAAUGGUUUUCUACUUCCCAACACAUACAUGCUUGUAUGUGGUACUCAUAGUGUGUAUUUUUGGAGAUACUAAGUUGUUCACAGUUGGAAUAGAAUGAAUAGCAAAUUUAACUACAUUUAACUUUUACUCAUCCAACUAUACUGACAAAUUUGAGACACAGUAUUGUUUAUAUAUGUGAGACAUUUAUUUGGAUUACAAACAGAACAAGAUACGAAAUGAUGGAUCAUUUGGGUUAGCUCUAGUACCAGGGCUCAGAGCUAGACAACUAUCACCUGUUACUGCAUAUCCUUUACCCCUGGGGUCCCUUUUUUGUUCGUAAGAUCAUACUGAGAAAUGAGUUUGAGGAAUGGGCCAAGACAGGCAUAGGGUUAGGCCUCAGGACUUUACCUCUUUGCUGAAUUCUUCAGGCUGAAAUUGCCAGGAGCCAGGAGAGGGUAGGAUGUUGGGUGAGGUAGCAUGGCACCUGGAGCUAUUCUUUUCUUUCAACAGAGGAUGGGGGUAAGGAGGGGAGGCUCAGAGGGGGAAGAGGAGAAUAGGGAAGAAGGAAAGCAGUGAGUGAGGAGGGAAUUGUGGGAAGGGCUAAGUGAGGUGGGUGGUUUGCUACUCUUGAGGAGGUGAGAAGGGAUGUAUUGGCAGCCUGGUUCAGCCUUGGAGUAACCUGACUUCAGGGAACAGACCAGUCCCUCUGCUAUACUCUCAACAUCCUCUUUCCUUCCAAACAAGACUGACAAAGUCCAAGGUCCAAAGUUCCAACUCUUGUCAUAGAAGACCACAGCUGAGGAACGACUUACUAGUGCUUAACUACCUCGACAAGUGUGUAUUUUAAGAGGAAACUCCAGGAUAUUACCUCUAUUAUGACUUUAAGUAUUACUAAAACUAUUAUUUAUUCUCUAAUUGAUUUUGAUAAUUUUAAUUCUCAAAAAAGUCUUGAGGCUAUUAAUAUAGAAUUUUUUAUAGUUUCAUAUCUAUUGUAUUUUAUCUUUUUCAUUCCUAGUGUCACUUAUUUGAUGCUGUGGUCUUUUUUCAUAAUAAUUUUUGUUACUCAUCUGCCUCUUAAGAAAUCAGCUUUUGUUUUAGUCAUCUCUUAUUUGUCUUCUAUUUCCUUAACUUUUUUUGGAGGGGGGGUACCCAGGGGGGCUUAACCACUGACCAAUAUCCCCAGACCUUUUUAUAUUUUAUUUUGAAAGAGGGCCCCACUAAGUUGCUCAGGACUUCACUAAGUUGCUGAGGUUGGCUUUGAAUUGUGAUCCUCCUACCUCAGCCUCCCGAGCCUCUGGGAUUAUAGGCGUGCACCACAGCUUUUAUUUUUUAAUCACUUAAAUAUUUAUUCUGUAAUAAAAAAUAAUAUAGAGGGUCACUUUAUCUUAUAAAAUAAAAAGACUAAUAACCCAAAAGAAUGGAAAAAGUUUUUUAAAAAAAGAAGUCUACAUGGCUUAUAAACAUAAUGCAAAGAAUAAAGUAAAAAAUGCAUGUUUUAAUGGUAGACCUCCAGGCUUGAGUGGCAUUUUGUCUGCUGGGUACUAGGGAUUGAACCCAGGGGCGCUGAAGCACUGAGCCAUAUUCCCAGUCUAUUUUAUUUUUUAUUUUGAGACAGGGUCUCCAGUCUUGUUUAAUUGCUGAGGCUGGCUUUGAAUUGUGAUCAUCCUGCCUCAGCCUCCCAAGAUGCUGGGAUUACAGGCAUGUGCCACUGUGCUUUGCAAUUUAGGCAUCUUGUUGCCAGUGCCUGGUGAAGGGACCCCUGGACUUCAGACAGAAGGUGCCCCACUACAGCCCUCUCUUUUAUAUUUUGGUGUUUUCUCCCCUGUAAAUUGUAACUGAUUUUUAAAAAAAAAUGGCUCCACCUGCCUUUACUUCACUGUUGUAUCACAUCAGAUAUGGAAUGUGAAAAAGAUAAGACACCUGAACUCCUGUUUAAGCUCUGGCAUUAUUAUUCUCCCACUGGUGGGCUGCAGGCAGGGGUUGUGAACCCAGCCUAGCCUGGCAGAGCUACUUACCAGGCCUUGCCACUAUUGCUAGAGGAAAAUGAUUUUGAGGGUCUUAUUCUCUCUUUAGCUUGCUAUGCCUGAUGUCUUAUCUCUUCAACUAAGUUUGUUUGGGGAGUUUUAUAAUUCUGCAUUCAGUGAAGUAAAUGGAAGGGUAGGUGUGUUGAAAACAGGGUCCAAGAACUGGAAGACAGGAACAGAUAGUCUGCAUCAGAGGUUCUCAGAUGUUUUGCUCUUAGAAACAUUUUACUCCUCCCUUUUAGCUUUAUUGUGGUAUAAUUAAUAUACAAAAAAUAGCCCUCAUUUAAUGUGUACAUUUCAAAUUUGAACACAUGAAUACUCUUGCAAUUCUCUACCAACUAAGGUAGAGAAAAUGUAUCUAUUCCAAAAUUUUUCUUGUUUUCUUUUGUUUGUAUGUGGCUUUUUAGUGGGAGGGGUGAGAAACCUAAGAUGAUAUGUAUCCUCUAAACAUAUUUUAAAGUGCACAAUACUGUAUUGUCAAUUAUAUGGACAAUGUUGUAUGGCUCUGUUGUAUGAUAAAUCUCUAGAACUUAUUCACUGUGUAUAUAGAAGGGUUAAAAAAACAUGGUAUAAACAUACAGUAGAAUAUACAUACCAAAAUGACACACACACAUAUAAAAUUUAACAAUAAUCAUGCCAUCUACAACAACGUGGGUAAACCUAGAGGGCACUGUGCCAAGGGAAACAAGUCAGACACUGAAGGAAAAACACUGCAUGAUUCUACCCUUAUGAGGCAUAAGGAAGUGAAUAGAAUGGUGGCUAUCAGAAGGUGUGGGGAGGGAGUAAUAUGAAAUCAUUUUUCAAUGGUCAUCAAGUUUCCAUUAUAUAAUUUAAAAAAUUUAAUUGUGGUAGAAUAGAUUAUAAUAUAAAAUUUACCAUCUUCACUAUUUUAAGUGUACAGUUCAGUGGUAUUAAGUAUAUUUACUUUAUUGUGCAACCAUCACCACCAGCCAGCUCCAUAACUCUUCUCAUCUUAACUGAAACUAUACCCACCAAAUAACAACUCCCCUUUCUCCCCUCCCUCUUCUAACCACCUCCCAUACUGUCUAUUUCCAUGAAUCUUAUUAGACACCCCAAGUGUGUGGAACCAUAGAGUGCAUCUCUCCCUGUGACCAGCUACGUUACCCAGCACAGUGGUUUCAGGCUUCAUGUUGUAGCAUGUUUCAGAACUUCCUUCUUUAUAUGCCUAAACAACAUUCCAUUGUAUGUAUAUUCCAUAUUUUGCCCAUCUGUUCAUUCUUCGAUAACACUUGUACCUUGCUUGCUAUCGUGAUAAUGUUGCUGAAAGCAUGAGUGUACAAAUAUCCCCAGCCUUUUUUCUUAUUUAUUUUGAGACAGGGUCUCUCUUAAGUUCCCUAGGCUGCGCUCGAACUUGCUAUCCUCCUGCUUUAGCCUCCCGGGUUGCCGGAACUAUAGUUGUAUGUCACCAUGCCUGUCGAGUUAUUUGAAUAGUAACCACUUAUCAAUAAUUUGCAGAAAUAUUUUCCUAUUCUGUAGAUUGUCUCUUUCUUCUGUUUAUUGUUUCAUUUGCUCUGUCCUUUAGGGUUUUUUCCUACAUUUUUUAUUGGUGCAUUAUAGUCAUACAUAAUGGUGGGAUUUGUUACAUAUUUGUAAGUGCACACAGUAUAAUAAUUUGAUCAGUAUCACUCCCAAGUAUUUUCCCUUUCCCUCUCCCCUCCAUCCCCCUGGUACUUUUCCUCUAUUCCACUGAUCUCCUUUUGAUUUUCAUGAGAUCCUGCCUCCCACCAACCUUCUUUUCCACAAAUGUGAGAAAACAUACCACCCUUGAAUUUUGAGUCUGACUUAUUUUGGUUCACAUAGUUUCCUGCCAGUGACAUAAUUUCAUUCUUCUUUAUAAAAGCAUUUUGGUUUGAUGGAAUCCCAUGUGUCAAUUUUUGUUUUUGUUGCUGGUGCUUUUGGAGUCAUAUCCAGAAAAUCUUUGCCCAGACCAAUAUUGUGGGCUUUUUCCUUUUUGUUUACUUCUAGUUGUUUUGCAGUUUCAGGUCUUACAUUUGUCUUUAAUCCAUUUUGAGUUCAUUUUUGUGUGAGAUUAAGGUUUAAUUUCAUUCUUUGGCUUAUGUAUAUUCAAUUUUCCCAGUGCCAUUUAUUGAUGAAACUGUCUUUUCCCUGUUGUGUGUUCUUUUUUUUCUUUUUUUGUACUAGGGAUUGAGCCCAGAGAUGCUCUAUCACUACCACUGCACUGAAUCCCCAGCCCUUUUUUUUGUUGUUGAGAGAGAGGGUGUUGCUAAAUUGCCUAAGCUGACCUCAAAUUUGUGAUCCUUCUGCUGGGAUUAAAGGUGUGUGCUGGUGUUCCUGGCAACACAUAAUUGUUUUUCUUGAGGUGAAAGGCUCACUUCAUUCAUUUCCCUGAAAACAUCUGAAAGAUAUACGAGUAUGAAGAAGCAUAGUCUGUUAGUCCUUUAUACAAAAAUGAUGUUCCACAAAACAAAACAAAACAAACAAAAAAACAGGUAGUUCAGCUUGCAAAAACAAUUGUACAAGUUCUUCCUGGACUUCUGUUUUCAAAAUUGCUUUAUGAGCAGACUGUUAGCAAGACAGGUAAUUAAUAGUCCAGUUUUAAUAAAAUUAAUGGUUAUUAAAAUAUUAUCAUGGACUUUUGUGUGUGUGUGUGUGGUACUAGGGAUUGAACCCAGAGGUGCUUAACCACUGAGCCACAUCCCCAGUCCUUUUUAUUUUUUAUUUUGAAACAGGGUCUUGCUAAGUUGCUUAGAGUCUUGCUAAGUUGCUGAGGCUGGCCUGGAACUUCGAUCUUCCUGCCUUAGCCUCUUGAGUUGCUGAGAUUACAGGCAUGCACCACUGUACCUAGCUGUUAUGGACAUUCUUAUAUGAAACAACUUAAAAGUUUAAAAACUUCAACUAUGGUGGGUGAAGAGUAUGACUUUUAAGGAAGUUUUGUGCCAGUUUGGUGAUUUGGGUUACGGCCCCAUAAGUGUCACCCACUGUUGCUUCUACAACAUAAAGGCAAAUGUCCACAAAGUGAAUACUACAAAAACCUUUGGGAAUUAUUAUGAAAAUGGUCUUGACCUUAUGGACCUCCCUGGAAGGGUCUUGGGUACUCUACAAGUCAAGGGGAGGGAUCACAAUUUGAGAGCCACUGGUCUCUAUGACCAUAGACCUCGUUUGCAUUUGGCCUCUACCACUUUAGUCAGCCUCCCUGGGCCUUGGUUUUCUCUACUGCAAGUGAGGCCCUAGUUUUCGACCCUAUUGGACUCUAUUUUCUAGUCCUUGAAAAUGCUUCUCUCUUAAUUGUGAUACGACCUUGGCUUCUUUCCUUCUUCCAUGUCAUACCUGCUUUUUUCUCUUUUCUCCUGACUCCUCUUCAGCUCACCAAUUAAAGGUUGACAUCCCCAUUGUUUUACCUCCUCCUCCUCUCCCUGGGUGAUCUUAUCCCCUCUCUGGUUUUUAACCAUUACCUGCAGGCUGAGGGCUCCCAAAUCUCUUCUUUAAUCUAGAUGUUUAUCCUAAGCUCCAGUUUCAUCUUUCCACCUGGGACCUCUCUACCUGAAUGUACUAAAGGCAUGUCAAAGUCAGUCUAAAUUGAUUCCAGAAUCUUCUUCCCUUUCUCCACAUUGUCUCCUCUUCCAGAAUAGCCAGUUCUUGGUUUACUCCUCAUCUACUCAACUGCUGAAGCCAGAAGCCUAGGAGCCCUCCUUCCCUUAUCUGGCACCCUGGUUUAAUCACCCAGGUUUAUUAAUUCUGCCUCCCAAAUAUUUUCCCUAUGUCUCCCUGCUCUCCAUCUCCAUCACCACCACUUUAGGUUAGGCCUUCAUUACUUCUUACCUAAAUUAUUACAAGAGCCUUCUUCUUGGUCCCCUGCCACCCAUUUCCAACCUAGACUCCAAGGGUUGGAAACCAUAAGAGUGUCUCACAUUUUAUGUUUUAUUAAAUAAGUAUAUAUUGAGUACUUACCAUUGCAGGCACUGUGCAGGGUGCAGGAAUGCAACAGAGAACACAACAGACAUUGUUCCUUACCACCAGUACUCACAGCGUAUGGAGGAGGAGGGAAAAGUACAGGAUAUGGAUCAUUAAGAUGCAGUGCAAUGGGGAAAGAUGGAAUAGGUGCUUGGGAACUUCUAGAAGCAUAAGCUGAGAGCUGGCUGAGUCCCAGGGUGGUCAAGGAACACUUUCUGAAGGAAAAGAAUCUCACACUCAGACUGCUCAUUGGGUGGGAAUUAAGAGAAGUGGGAGUAUGGUAGUGAAAUGCUCUCUGAUAAAUUUGAUCAUCUCAUUUCCCUGCUAAACAGACCUCUUGAGCUUUUCCACUGCUGCAGGAUAAAGUCCGAAUUCUUUACCAUGGAAUACAACCAUUGUUGCCUCAUCUUCUACCACACCCUUUCAUUUACUGUAAUCAACCUAUGCUGCUUUCAGUUCCCCAAACCCCACACUCUUUCUCAGCUCCAGGCCUUUGCACAUUUGGUUUCCUCCACCCUUGCCAUCCAAUGUCCCAUAGCCUAUCUAUCAAGCUCUGAGUCACUGACAUCAGCUGUCUCAGGAGACCUUCCCUGAUCCCGCCCAUGUAGACUUUGUGGCUCCCUCUCUUGUGUUCCCUGCCUGUGCACACACCUGGACUCACGCACAUGUCACAUUGGUAGGGCUCAUCCACAUGUCUUUCUUGCUUCUGACUGCUAUUUCAGGAUCCCAGUUCAUGCUUAAUUCCCACACCCUCACCCCAAGAUCAUUUUGGUUGUUCCCAGGGUGUGUGUUUCCUGUGUCCUAGUGGACAACUUUAGAAAAUUAUUACCACCUCCCCCCCCAUCAUUUUCCUUCCUCCAGCUCUGCAACCUCCCUGUGCCCCUACCACACCCCAUGGAGUUAUCUGUUCUGCUGGACAUUGCCACACCCAUCAUGCACCUUACACCUGUAGGGAGUCAGCAGCAUGCCGGUUGACCUCACUGAAGCAGCAGUGCUGGGAGCUGUUGGUCCCCUGUUGCCUUGUAGAGCCAUGGACUUGGCCCGCAGAUAUAUCUAAUUCACAAAUACCAAUCUAUCUCAGAAUCAGCUCCUUCCCACUGAGCAAAGCUUCGUCUCUGUGUCAGCUCCUUGUGCCAGUUUCCCUCUUACCUUAGAAAGAGUUCUUUCUCAGAAGGUCUCUCAACUCCUCAUACAAAGAGGUUCCCAAGGGUUGCCCAUAAACGUGCUAGAAAGGGAUGUUGGCCUGCACCACCAUCUAUCACCAGCCUGAUGGCAAAGUAUGCGUGAAUAUUUAUUUAUUUAAAAUAAUAAAUUAGCUGGUGUGGUGGUGCACACUAGUAACCCCAACAACUUGGGAGGCUGAGGCUGGAGAAUCACAAGUUCAAGAAUAGCUUCAGCAACUUACUGAGACCCAGUCUCAGAAGAAAAAGCAAACAAGACUGGAAUGUAGCUCAGUGGUAGAGUACCCCUGGGUUCAAUCCCCAGUACCAAAAAAACAAAUACAAUAUUAAAUUAUAUAAGCAAUGCUGAAUACAGUUUCAUAGUUGAAAAGCCAAAUGGUUUAGAAAUAUAGAAUAAAAAGUUAAUGAUCCUCUUCCUCCCACCCCACAUCCAAAAGCCUAUCCUCCAAGUAGGCACUAUUAAUUAUUUGGUGGAAACAUUCAGACUUUUUGCUUUGCACUUACACAUAUGUGAGUCUGAGAUAAUAUUUGUGGAAUUGAUCUUUUUUCAUCCCUGAAUUUUCCCCUUUCUUGUCCUCACAUUCAUGGAGCUCAUCACUUCUGAACCUCUCUCCAGGUUAGAAAUCCAAAUCAGCUUUCAAGUAUCUCUGGCUUUUGUGUGCUGAAAGCUUAAGCAUUCUUUAGAGCAACCUCAAGAUUUUCUGAACAGCUUAUCAAAGGACAAGGGCUCUCUUGCAGAGAUUGAAUGCCUUGACUAGAAACAAGAUGGAAGAAUAAUUUGCUUUGGAGUAGAAAGACCUCCAACCCUUGUAAGCCCUCCCUUCUCCAGUCUGACUAAGGGCAGGAGACACAAGAGGAGAAAUGUCCCACCUUGUUUUCUACCUGUUCGCCUAGACAGGCAGUAAAAUCCCAAAGAGAGUUGACGUCAUGGUGAAGGCAGGACACAAGGUCACUGGCAACUUGAUCCAUGGUUCCUAAUUGCUCUGAAGAGGCACAUAGCAGCAGGGACUGCCAUACCUGGCCUCAGCCAGCCUCACCUUCACCUUUUCUAGCUUGUGCCUGGCUCUUCCAGCGUUCAGGAGAAUUUAGACACAUCUGACAUCAAGUCUCCUAUUGUCAGGACUGAAGCUUCCCAUAAGCAGUGAAUUGAGUUACAGGCACUAAAAUGUGAUUUCUUGCAUGCCUAAGUUUGUAAAUUAAGAUUCAGGUGUCAUGUACUGUUCAUAUUCUGCCACUUAAAAAUUAACGAUAUAUCUUAAAAAUUUCACACCAGUGGAAAAGUACAUGAGCACAUACUUUUAAAAAAGUUUUCAAAAGUUAGUGUUCAUGAUAAGAGAUUCAAACAGUAUCAAAGGAGAAAGCAGAAGUUCUUGAAUCCUCCGUUUCCUUUCCCUAGAUAUAACUAUUGUUAAAACCUUAGAAAAUUUCUUUGCAGAUUACGUCACAUAUCUAUUUAUUUACUAGCUUUUUUAUAUAAUAAUAAGCUCUUAACUCUAUAUACUUUUUGUGCAUAUAUUUUCUAUUAUAUAUAAUAGAAAUCUUUAUUUCUAUAUAAAUAUUUAUUUCUAUAUUUUAUUUAUUUCUCUAUAAAUAAAUAAAAGAUAAUAUUAUUUAUUACUCAUCAUUAAAUAGAUUCUAUUUAUCUAAGUAGAUGUAGUUCUACUUUAUUUCUUUCAAUGGCUGCCCAGUCUUCCCGUAGAUUGGAUGUGCCACAUGUAUUUAAUUAGUUGAUUGGCAUUUAAGUAUCCAGAUUUUUAGCUAUUACCAAUUAAGGGCACAAUGAACAGAAAAAUAGCUAGCAAUUGUUGACAACAGGUAUUGUUGUCAUGUGGUAAGCCAUAUAACCCUUGAAAUGUCCCAAUGAGAUAGGUUCUUUUAUUGCCCCUACUACACAAAUGAGGGAACUAAGUCACAAAAAGAUCAAUAAUUUCCACAAGGUUACACGUCUGGUAGGUGGAGGAUCUGGGACUUGCACCCAGGCAGUUGAGUCCCACUCCUGUACUCUAGAUCACAACACUACAGCCCCUCUGUAGACCCCGAGCACUUAUGCUGAUAUGUCCAUAUAAAAGGUCAAACUUUGUGCAUUUUACACUUUAAUAGUGUUAAAUGGUGGGGACAUUGUUUUAUGAGGAGAGCAAUGUGCUUCUUUCAUAAUCAAUUGUGGAGCCCACUUGUUUCCUGAGAACAGAGGGGUUGCUGCUGCCCCUGUGCCCAGAGGCCCCACUAAAUAAGAGCAUCCUCUCUUGCUGUGGUCAGGGCUUCAGCUCUGAAUUUUUUCUGGCUCUCUCCCUUUCAUACUGGACUGGGUUCCCAGGAGUCUUGGGAACCCGGCUCAUGCCCUUUAAGGCCAAGGCCACAGACUGCUAGAGGAGUUUUUCCCUUCUCUUUUCUCUGCACCUUCUUAGUUUCCUAAAGGUGAGGGUACCUUCCAACUGGAAGCCCUCUAUUCCCCAUUUUCCUAUUCUUUCUGCAAGAGGAGAAAAGGACAUCCACUUAGAGAAAUAGGUGCACCUCCCCACCUGCAGCUCCUACAUCUAACCACAAGGGGCCCACUGCAGGACCUCCAGGCCUUGAUGCUCACCAGACCUGCACAGAGGUGGGUGGUCACAAUGUGUGGCCUGGUUUCUUCAUGGCCUCUGCUUUUAUGGGAAUAUAUCAGUGGUUCUCCGACAAGAGAGAACCAACUCUCCCAACUCCCAACAGGGGACAUGUGGCAAUGUUUGGAGAUAUUUUUGGUUGUUACACUUGAUGGUAGUGGCGUGUGUGUGUGGCGUGUACAUGCCCAGGCAUGCACACACACACUCUUGGCGCCACACAUACACUACUGGCAUCUCCUGGGUAGGUCAGGAAUGCUGCUGAACAUCCUACAACAUACAGGACAGCGCCUACAACAAAGAACAAUACAGCCCCAAAUGAACCCUGGGCUAUGGGAGGGCAGACAGUACCCAGCACAUGGCUGCCCCCUGUGGCUUUGGAAUCAAUUUAAGUGAAGCCAAGAGGUGGGUGGCUGUGUGAAGGGCAGUGGCUGGAAGUAGUAGUUACACCCCAAUUUUUUUUUUUUUAUAAAGUCAGCGAAGUUUGUUUAUUUUUUUUUAUUAUUAUUUUUUAGUUAUCGGCGGACACAACAUCUUUGUUUUGUUUUGUUUGUAUGUGUUGCUGAGGAUCGAACCCAGGCCGCACGCGUGCCAGGCAAGCGCGCUACCACUUGAGCCACAUCCCCAGCCCCUGUUUUUUAUUUUAAAUAGAAAAUAGUAGACACUAUUUUCCUGUCAAAGAAUAGGAAGAUGGCUGGUGAAGUUUGGGGUGGGUAGUGGGAUAGAUAAGCAUUCCUUACCUGCAUUACAGACUAUUGAGAAAUUAAGGAUGUGGAAAACACUCCAAAAUUUACUAGAUAUGGCCCAGCUAGUCUCAAGCAAAAUGCCUGGAAUUAAAUGUUUUAUCAUUAACCAAAAAGAAGGGAAUUAAACUCCACAAGCUGGGAACUCAAGAAUGAAGACAAAGCAUAAGAAAACAAACUGAUGAAAACAAGAUAGAACAAACAAGAUAAAACAAAUUAAUGAAUUAGAAAACAGGAAAUCUGUUCAUUUUAAUAAAUACAUUGAAGACAAUAAAAUUAGAUACAAGUGGACCUGGAAAUGGAACAAAACAUCGAUUGAAGAAGCCACAGAGGAAGCUCUGUGUGAGUGUGUGUGUGUGUGUGUGUGUGUGAGGGGGGCACAAGGAGGAUGACAGACUUUACAACAUCGACAUGCACUUAUUUAACAUCAGUUUACUGAUCACAUGCUGUGUGCAAGGCACUUUUCUAAGCACUGGGAGCGUAACACUAACCAGAUGAAGAGCAAUGCCCUCAAUGCCAUUCUCAGCUCUAGUGAGCCUUGAGGUAAUGUCAGGUGGGAACCAGUAACAUCAGCUCAGCUAAGUCCCAAGGCUGGCCAAAGUGCCUGGAUCCCAAAAUGUAAGUUGAACAAACAAGAAAAUGCUGCAGCUCAGGUGAGAUGGUAAAGCAGGAGAUGAGAGGAAUUUAAACUUCUUUUCAGAAAGCCUGGAUCCAGAAGGCAGAAAAAGAACACAAAAACAUUAAUAUUUAUUUUUCAGUUUUAUUUUUUGAGAUGGGGUCAUGCUGUGUUACUGUGGCUUGUCCCAAACUCAUAAGUGAUCCUCUUGCCUCAGCCUCCUGAGUGCUGGGACUCCAGGCAUGUGCCAACCACACCUGGCUAGAAAAUUAAUAUUUAUUAAUGACCCCCAGGGAACCUAUCUACUCACCAGUGUGUCUGAAGGGCCAUGAGAUGGACUGACCAGCACCCAAUUACCCAAUCUCUUGAAACUAAGGACUUACUUUGGAGUGGGUCCCUCCUUCCCUCCCUUUCUGUUCCCUAUUCCAGGCCCCCAGGUAACAAGGAAUCUUUGCUAUGGAAAUUGGAGGCGUUUCCAGUUCCCAACCCUUAGGAGACUGUCUCUAUGGAAAUGGGACUCUCCCCAGGGGCCAUUGUGGAUCACCCCCAAACAGCCCUUGCCUGGUAGGCCUGUGGCAGCUGCCAUGUCUGGCUAGGCCAACUCAACAUCCUUGGAGGUCUGCUCAGAGCAGAGUUUCUGCAGAAAUGUUUCGUGGCCAGUUUCAAAGCACCGGGGAGAGCAGCUUGCCCUGUGUUGGCUGUGCGGCAUCUGUUUUCUCAGAAGCUGGAGAGAGCUCAGGGGACUCACAGGAAGACAUUUUCAACAUUAACAAUGGCCAACAUUUAUGUUGGUCCUCACUCCAUGCUUGGCAUGUUCUAAGUGCUUGACAUCCAUUAACUUAUUUAAUUCUGACAACUCUGUGUGACAUGUUCCAUUGCUGUGGUCCCAUUUUACAGGCCAGAAAGCUGAAUCCAGAGAUCAGAUACCUUGCCCAAAGUCCCAGUGGCGGGUAGGCCAAGCUUGGCAUUCAUAAAGCUCUUACAUGUGCUCAUGGCAAAUGCUCCAGGACUUCCCUCUCUGCUCCUUUUUGGACCUUGUGAACACCAGGAUGUGUUCAUAUCUGUAGAAGGGGAAAAAAGAAGCAGUUGCCCAAUUCUCUCUCCCUGAUUCUGACUCCCACUCCUUUUCCGAUGGCUUUUAUAUUUUUUUCCUGCAGAAGGCAUAACAAGUGAGCACUGAUUGCAGGGAUUUAGGACAACUGUGAGACUUGAGUUGUUGAAUUUGAAUGCGAGAGCCCUUCUGUACCUCCUGUAGGGAUUUCUGGGCCUAGAGGGUGAGCUGCUUGGAUAAUAGAUUGGCUUAGACUUGUCAUGAAACUCUGUCACUUAGGAGGACCAGAAGGACCUGGUGAGUCUGGGUGGGGACACAGGGACUUACGUACGGCUGUUCUGACCAUGUCCACAGUUUGGAUAAAGAGGAUGCUUCUCCAUGUGAGGCGUCCAACAGCCAAGACGUGAGGUUGUAGAUGGGAGAGGGUUGCAGAAGGAGUGGGCAUGGUCUGUUGGUCCAAAGCCAACUUUGCACUGGAAAUAAGGAAGAAACACUUAUCAGCUCAUUAAUUAUAGGAUGCAGUAGGAUUGGCUGUGCCUCUGGGUGUGGGGCAGUAACCUAAUGCUUUAAACAAACAGCCCUGUCACUCAACAAUAAUUAGCAGCAACAAUAAGCAUCUUCAUAGAACUAGAUUGAUAGGUGGCCGACAACACACAGCCCCAAGCCUGGCCUAGAACUGGGCUUGGUUGCCACACCUGUGGAGCCAGCCAGUGGUUUGGCCAGCCUACAGGAGCAUGCACAGAAGUGAUACAUUCUUUCUUCUUCUGCUGUUUGCUGAUAACUUGUUCUGUAGGAGGCACUGAGAGGAAGGAAAUGUGAGAUUUAGCAACAUUCUAGUGAAUUGAGGAGUCAAGAUUAAUCUUGAAAAGUUAAACAGCAGCACAAGAAAUAUUGUAUAUGUCAAAAUACAGAGUGUGAGUGCUCAGGGCCAAGUAGGACUUAGAGGCAGACUCUCCACCAGAUGAAAGGUGAGGUGGACUUGUGGUGGGGUCUGCAUUCCCUGUGAGAUUUCUGCCAGGACACACUGCAAUGCUUCUUCUCAAGAAGUAGGAAACACAGGAAGAAAUUUUUCAGAUUGUACAUAUUGUUCUGUGAUUUGCUUUUCAUGCUUAUCAAUAUGUUGUGAACAUUCUUUCUUGUUCAUAAAUAAACUUCUUAUGAAUCUCUCAUA